UCAAGCUUUUUAGGGCACACAGUGAAUGCCUUGGUGCUAACAGGCGAUGAAGGACGUGAUAAGCUGCGAUAAGCUUCGGGGAGCGGCAAGUACGCGUUGAUCCGGAGAUUUCCGAAUGGGGUAACCUGAUAUUGUUAAUACAAUAUCGUCUUUUUCCGAAGCCCCUUAGAUGGGGAAGUUAAGAAAAAGCACGCGAUACCCGGUGAAGUGAAACAUCUCAGUAACCGGAGGAAAAGAAAGAGAAUCGAUUCCGUCAGUAGUGGCGAGCGAAAGCGGAAUAGCCCAAACCGGGAGCUUGCUCCCGGGGUUGUAGGACCCCGCCGUGGGAUCUUGAACGAUAGAUGAAGCAGAUGGAAAGCUGCGGCACAGAGGGUGAAACCCCCGUAAUCGAAAUCCGAAGAGACCCUAGGGUGUUCCUGAGUAAUACGGCACACGUGAAACGCCGUAUGAAUCUGCGCAGACCACUGCGUAAGGCUAAAUACUAGUUAGCGACCGAUAGUGAACAAGUACCGUGAGGGAAAGGUGAAAAGAACCGCUGUGAGCGGAGUGAAAUAGAACCUGAAACCGUGUGCCUACAAGGUGUCAGAGCCGACUUGUUCGGUGAUGGCGUGCCUUUUGCUUAAUGAGUCUGCGAGUCAGUAUGUGUGGCAAGCCUAAGGUCUUACGGACCGGAGGCGAAGCGAAAGCGAGUCCGAAUAGGGCGACAUUAGUUGCACGUGCUGGACCCGAAGCGGAGGUGAUCUACCCUUGGCCAGGUUGAAGCGCAGGUGAUACUGCGUGAAGGACCGAACAGGUGAAUGUUGAAAAAUUCUCUGAUGAGCUGAGGGUAGGAGUGAAAGGCUAAUCAAACCCCGUGAUAGCUGGUUCUCCUCGAAAUGCAUUGAGGUGCAGCGUCGCGUGUUUAUGAAUGGGGGUAGAGCACUGAAAGGGCUAGGGGGCAUACCCGUCUACCAACCCCUAUCAAACUCCGAAUACCAUUCAACAGAACGCGGCAGUGAGACGGCGGGGGAUAAGCUUCGUCGUCAAAAGGGAAACAACCCUGAUCAGCAGCUAAGGUGCCCAAAUUAUGCUAAGUGGAAAGGAGGUGAGGUUUCACAGACAGUGAGGAUGUUGGCUUAGAAGCAGCCACCAUUUAAAAAGUGCGUAAUAGCUUACUCAUCGAGAGACCCUGCGCCGAAAAUGAUUGGCGAUAAGCAUAAUACCGAAGCUCUGGGCUUUUGUCCUUGGGGACAGGAGCGGUAGAGGAGCAUUCUUGACACGUUGAAGCGCGAUGGCGACUGACCGUGGAGAGUCAAGAAGAGAGGAUGCAGACAUGAGUAACGAUAAGACGGGUGAAAUCCCCGUCCGCCGUAAACCCAAGGUUUCCCGGGCUACGUUUUUCGUCCCGGGGUUAGUCAGGACCUAAGCCGAGGCAGAUAUGCGUAGGCGAUGGACAGCAGGUUAAUAUUCCUGCACUUGCGAACCUUAACCCGGAUUGACGCAUUUCUGGAGGUAACUAAGUGAUUGAAUUCCGAGGUGAGGCUACGGCCGAUCCGCAUUACCAAAGGAGGUGCCGAGAAAAGAUCCGGUGUAUGCUAAGCAACCUGUACCGCAAACCGACACAGGUGGGUGGGUAGAAUAUACCAAGGCGUAAGAGUGAACCCUGGUUAAGGAACUCGGCAAAUUGGCCCCGUAACUUCGGGAUAAGGGGUGCCUAGGUUUACCUAGGCCGCAGUGAAAUGGCCCAACCGACUGUUUAGCAAAAACACAGCAUUCUGCCAAGCCGCAAGGCCAAGUAUAGGAUGUGACACGUGACCAAUGCGGAAAGAUUAAGGUAAGAUGUUAGCAGCAAUGCGAAGCUUUGAGCCCAAGUCCCCGUGAAUGUCGGCCGUAACUAUAACGGUCCUAAGGUAGCGAAAUUCCUUGUCGGGUAAGUUCCGACCUGCACGAAUCGUGAAACGAGUUGGGCGCUGUCUCAACCAGGUGCUCAGUGAAAUUGUAAUGGCGGUGAAGAUGCCGCCUACCCGCAGAAGGACGGAAAGACCCUAUAGACCUUAACUGUAAGCUGUCAUUGGUUUUUCGAUUUUCAUGCUCAGCAUAAGUGGGAGACUUUGAUGUGGUUUUUUAGGAAACCAUGGAGUCGCCAGUGAGAUACCACCCUUGGGUGUUGGAAGAUCUAACCUCGGUCCCGUGAAUCCGGGCGAGGGACAUUGUCAGCCGGUCAGUUUUACUGGGGCGGUAUCCUCCCAAAGAGUAACGGAGGAGCGCGAAGGUGGGUUCAGCACGGUCGGUAACCGUGUGUCGAGUGCAUUGGCAUAAACCCGCCUAACUGUGAGACCUACAAGUCGAGCAGAUGCGAAAGCAGGCCAAAGUGAUCCGGCGGUUGAAUGUGGAAUUGCCGUCGCUCAACGGAUAAAAGGUACCUUAGGGAUAACAGGCUGAUUUCAUCCAAGAGUUCAUAUCGACGAUGAAGUUUGGCACCUCGAUGUCGGCUCGUCGCAUCCUGGGGCUGGAGAAGGUCCCAAGGGUCCGGCUGUUCGCCGGUUAAAGCGGCACGCGAGCUGGGUUCAGAACGUCGCGAGACAGUUCGGUCCUCUAUCCUCUGUGGGCGCAGGAAAAUUGAGGGGUUCGGUUCCUAGUACGAGAGGACCGGAAUCGACGCACCUCUGGUGCACCGGUUGUUCUGUCAAGAGCAUGGCCGGGUAGCUAAGUGCGGAAGAGAUAAGCGCUGAAAGCAUCUAAGCGCCAAGCUCCUCCCAAGAUGAAUUUUCCCCGAAGGAUCGUCGGAGACUACGACGUUGAUAGGUUUUAGGUGGAAGUGCAGCAAUGUAUUGAGCCGAGAAAUACUAAUCAUCCGUUUGGCUUGAUUCC
rnacentral:rRNA from 1 species